rnacentral:rRNA from 1 species
AGCGAACGUUAGCGGCGGGCCUAACACAUGCAAGUCGAGCGAGAAAAGGGCUUCGGCCCUGAGUAAAGCGGCGGACGGGUGAGUAACACGUAGGUAAUCUUCCCUUGAGCGGGGGACAACGAGCCGAAAGGCUCGCUAAUACCGCAUAAGUUCAUAGGGACUCCGGUCUUCAUGAGGAAAGCUAGGUAGCAAUAUCCGGCACUCGAGGAGGAGCCUGCGUCGCAUCAGCUAGUUGGUGGGGUAACGGCCUACCAAGGCGAAGACGCGUAGCUGGUCUGAGAGGAUGAUCAGCCACACUGAAACUGAGACACGGUUCAGACUCCUACGGGAGGCAGCAGUGGGGAAUAUUGGACAAUGGGCGCAAGCCUGAUCCAGCCACGCCGCGUGAGUGAUGAAGGCC